CGGAAGCGAUACCCGGGAAACACCUCCGCAGAGACUCUGGAGGUUGGUAGAGGCUGGAGAGGGGCUGCACAAACGCCGAAUUGAAGAAAGAGAAAAGUAUCAGGACUGAUGCUGUUAUAACUACAUUGAAAGAGAGUUUGCCAUCAAAAUGGUGUUUUUCUAGAGACAAAGAAGCUCUGAACUCCACUUGGAAUGAAAGGAGCCUCAUUAAUACUUGGUCUCCCUGCACUCUCAGUCCAUUUGGAUUCUCAUGAAUAAGGGAGAGAAUUUUAACCAGGUGGGAGAGUCCUCAUUUAUUUUGUAAAUGAUUUACUUUUUAAUCAGAAUGUGUUAUUUAAUUUCACUACAGGCAGUUGGAUAAAGGCUAUCUGAGGUGAGGUAAAAUUAUUGUGGAUAUAUAAUAUUUCUGGAUUUAUAAUUAUUUGCUCAUUGCCACAGGGAAAUUUGUUUAAUAUAUUACCACUCAAGGAAGGGUUUUGUGCAUUUAGACCAGGGGAGAGGUCAA
rnacentral:lncRNA from 1 species